rnacentral:rRNA from 1 species
CAGUAGUCAUAUGCUUGUCUCAAAGAUUAAGCCAUGCAUGUCUAAGUAUAAACAACUCAGUACUUGUGAAACUGCGAAUGGCUCAUUAAAUCAGUUAUAGUUUAUUUGAUGUUACCUUUUUUACUACUUGGAUAACCGUAGUAACAUAGAGCUAAUACAUGCAAAUACUCUUGACCGCAAGGAAGAGAGGCACUUAUUAGAUUACAAACCAAUCCGUGUAAAAGCGGUAUAAGGUGAUUCAUAGUAAGGUUGGAAAUCGUAUGGGAGCAAUCCUGACGAUGUAUCAUUCAAAUUUCUGCCCUAUCAACUUUGGAUGGUAGUAUAGAGGACUACCAUGGUGAUAACGGGUAACGGAGAAUUAGGGUUCGAUUCCGGAGAGGGAGCCUGAGAAAUGGCUACCACUUCUAAGGAGGGCAGCAGGCGCGCAAAUUACCCAAUCCUAAUACGGGGAGGUAGUGACAAUAAAUAACAAUGCAGGGUCUAUUGAUCUUGUAAUUGGAAUGAGUACAAUUUAAACCCCUUAACGAGUAACAAUCAGAGGGCAAGUCUGGUGCCAGCAGCCGCGGUAAUUCCAGCUCUGAUAGCGUAUAUUAAAGUUGUUGCAGUUAAAAAGCUCGUAGUUGCAGUUUAGGAUUUCGCUUCUAUGGUCGGCUGUGAUAAACAGUUUUGUACUGUAGAGGCAAUCCUUUCCUACUGGUUACUCGACUCUGUCCUUUACUGGAUGGAGUAGUGUCGCAAGGCAUCGUUUUGUAUAAUAUUGCUCUUCAUCGUAGUUUUUGGGUAAAACUGAAAGUGAAAGUGGAGGGAUCACAGUAUUGUGCAAAAUGGGGUUCCAGUUCAUUUACUUUGAGUAAAUUAGAGUGUUCAAAGCAGCCUCUUGGGGCAUUGAAUAUAUUAGCAUGGGAUAAUAGAAUAGGACUCUUGUUCAUUUAUUGGUUUAUGAAUUUAGAGUAAUGAUUAAUAGGGAUAGUUGGGGGCACUUGUAUUCAAUAGUCAGAGGUGAAAUUCUAGGAUUUAUUGAAGACAAACUUCAGCGAAAGCAUUUGCCAAGGAUGUUUUCAUUAAUCAAGAACGAAAGUUAGGGGAUCGAAGACGAUCAGAUACCGUCGUAGUCUUAACCAUAAACUAUGCCGACUAGGGAUCGGACGGUGUUUCUAUUAUGACCCGUUCGGCACCUUACGAGAAAUCAAAGUUUUUGGGUUCUGGGGGGAGUAUGGUCGCAAGGCUGAAACUUAAAGGAAUUGACGGA